CCCUUAGAUGUUCUGGGCCGCACGCGCGCUACACUGAUGCAUUCAACGAGUUUCUUCCUGGUCCGAGAGGAAUGGGUAACCUUUUGAAAGUGCAUCGUGAUAGGGAUAGACUAUUGCAAUUAUUGGUCUUCAACGAGGAAUUCCUAGUAGACGUAGUUCAUCAGACUGCAUCGAUUACGUCCCUGCCCUUUGUACACACCGCCCGUCGCUCCUACCGAUUGAAUGCUCAGGUGAGCCAUUCGAACUUUCAUCAUGCUGGUUUCCAGUUUUGAUGAAGGAAAGUCUUGCGAACCUUAUCAUUUAGAGGAAGGAGAAGUCGUAACA
rnacentral:rRNA from 1 species